UCCAAACAAACGAAAAAGGCUAGAGGAAUGGUGGGGGGGAAAGGAAAGUACACACUAUGCUCGCCCUGCCCUCCCACCUACCUUUAAUCACCGGUCAAACUUUUAUUUGAAUGCUUAGGGAAGAAGGCAAGAGAGCCAGAGAGAGGCUGCCACCGAAAAUAAUCUGUCGCUCCUGAGGGAUCCGAAGUAAACCCCUGCUUGGUGGCUGCUACAGGAAAGCAGAUGUGUGAGGGAGGAAUGGGAAUAUCUUUCACACAGAUCACAGAAUCAUCUGCCUGCCUGGAACCACCUAUUAAACUGGAGAAAAGCUUAAAAUAAAGUGGACAUUUGAACCUGUUUCACCUCCUCUGAUCUUUGAUUCUGUGUUCGUCACGGACUCCACUUCAUCCAUGAGUUGAAAGAGUGUGUGCAAGAGUACCUCAAAGGCAAACCAGAAGCUUUGGGGAGGAACAAUGUGAUAUCUCACUUAGCAUAAUUGCUGUAUAGUGAAAGCACCACUCAAGAGAAGGAAAGUUCUGUAAAGAAUCUGAACUGUCCCUAAAUGAUUUUAGAAUUAGAUUAAAGAUAACAGUUUAUGAAGGGGGAAGAAUGUUUUUUUUUUAAUUUUUUACAAAUUAGUUUCUUAAAAUUGAACCUAUUUUAAUCAGUGGCUAGACUGGAACCUUAUAAAUUCAUAUGUGUGUUAUAAGAUAGUAAAAGAAAAAAGCCAGAGAGAAGCAGGAACAAAGACAAAAAAUAAUUACAUCCACAGCAGAAUUAAUUUACAAUUUUACUAUUAUUACUGUAUUUAAGAGGUCAAGAAGGGCAGGUGGUGAUUUAGUUAAAAGAGCUCUAUUUCAUUGGUCAAAUAGAAUGAAGGGUUUUGUAUAAAGUAUAACAUGAUGUAAACUUAAUGCAUUGACACAGAGUUCAUAUGCAGUGUAAUUUAUCAUAGAUGUCAUCACAAAGUUCAAUAAGAAUAGUAUGUGAAGCAAAAAAAGUAAAUAGAAAUAAUUGCAGUUUCAGAUAAAUGUACUGAGAGGAAAGUAAUAAAAUCUGCACAUUUGUAAACAAUAUGGAAACUGUGUGCCACUAUAUAUAAAAGUGGCCCUCAAUCUGUCUACGGAUACAAGUGGGGCCUGCACCAAAAUGUUGCAGUGUGUUCUCAUCAUUAUCAUUCCAGCCCACCAGCCAUGCUGUCUUCCAGACACUCCAUUCCAUUCCUUCCCUCCACCCCAGUUUCCCCCCCCUUUUUUUCUCUCAAUAGACUUUUAGCAUUUUGUGGCCACUAAGCAUGCUCAGUCCUUAUAUGGUUGUUUUUUAGGGUUUUUGCCCCUGUGACAGAAGAGCAAGUGGAAGAAUUAUUGACGAUAGGGGACUGGAAUGGAUUUUGUGCUGAGUUAGAGUGACUGGUAGAAUCAGCUGGAAAAUGACAGUUGGAAUGGGCAAGAGUGUGGCUGUCGGAAAGACAAGAGGGGAGUGAGAUGAGAGGGGUAAUGAAACCAUAUAUAAAAGAGUUAACUUAGUUGUUAAGGAGAAG